GUGGGGAAUAUUGCGCAAUGGGGGAAACCCUGACGCAGCAACGCCGCGUGAAGGAUGAAGGUUUUCGGAUUGUAAACUUCUUUUGUCGAGGACGAAACAAAUGACGGUACUUGACGAAUAAGCCACGGCUAACUACGUGCCAGCAGCCGCGGUAAUACGGAGGAUCCAAGCGUUAUCCGGAAUCAUUGGGUUUAAAGGGUCCGUAGGCGGUUUAAUAAGUCAGUGGUGAAAGCCUGCAGCUUAACUGCAGAACUGCCAUUGAUACUGUUAGUCUGGAGUAUGGUUGAGGUAGCUGGAAUGUGUCAUGUAGCGGUGAAAUGCUUAGAGAUGACACAGAACACCGACGGCGAAGGCAGGUUACCAACCCAUUACUGACGCUGAGGCACGAAAGCGUGGGGAUCAAACAGGAUUAGAAACCCUUGUAGUCC
rnacentral:rRNA from 1 species